rnacentral:rRNA from 1 species
GUAGGGAAUAUUGGGCAAUGGAGGCAACUCUGACCCAGCCAUGCCGCGUGCAGGAUGACGGUCCUCUGGGUUGUAAACUGCUUUUAUACGGGAAGAAAAAAUACUACGUGUAGUAUACUGACGGUACCGUAAGAAUAAGGAUCGGCUAACUCCGUGCCAGCAGCCGCGGUAAUACGGAGGAUCCAAGCGUUGUCCGGAUUUAUUGGGUUUAAAGGGUGCGUAGGCGGAUCUUUAAGUCAGUGGUGAAAGCCUGCAGCUUAACUGUAGAAUUGCCAUUGAAACGGAAGAUCUUGAAUGUGGUUAAAGUAGGCGGAAUGUAUCAUGUAGCGGUGAAAUGCUUAGAUAUGAUACAGAACACCGAUAGCGAAGGCAGCUUGCUGAACCAUUAUUGACGCUGAGGCACGAAAGCGUGGGGAGCGAACAGGAUUAGAUACCCGGGUAGUCC